UACGUAGGGUGCGAGCGUUAAUCGGAAUUACUGGGCGUAAAGCGUGCGCAGGCGGUUUUGUAAGCCAGAUGUGAAAUCCCCGGGCUCAACCUGGGAAUGGCAUUUGGGACUGCAAGGCUGGAGUACGGCAGAGGAGACUGGAAUUCCUGGUGUAGCAGUGAAAUGCGUAGAUAUCAGGAGGAAUACCGAUGGCGAAGGCAGGUCUCUGGGCUGAUACUGACGCUCAUGCACGAAAGCGUGGGGAGCAAACAGGAUUAGAAACCC
rnacentral:rRNA from 1 species